rnacentral:lncRNA from 1 species
CACCAUCUAACGAUUGAUAUCGUAAAAGAAAGAGAAUCAUAAAGAUAUAUUCCGAACCCUGGCCGAUCAUACAACUGACUGCUAUUGAGUUUUGUGCUAAUGCAUGGUGACCAACUCUUUCUUUAAGAUCCACUGAAUCUACUUAAAUUUUUAGUAUUUUAUUUAUUAAAUUUAAUAAGUAUAUUUAUUUUAAUUAAUUUAAUAUUCUAAUUUAUUAAAAAUUCAUGAGUUUAAGUUUGCUAAAAUAGUGUGACUUCCCGCCAUUUAUGCAAGAAGAUGGAAGGUUAAAUCGGAUGAAGGAUGGCAAUGCCUAACUAUUUAAUUUGUUUAACUUAUUUCAAUC